GUGGAUAUAGUUUAACAAAAACAUCAGAUUGUGAUUCUGAAAAUAGAAGUUAAAACCCUCUUCUCCACC
rnacentral:tRNA from 1 species